UAUCCUACGGGAAGCAGCAGUGGGGAAUAUUGGGCAAUGGGCGCAAGCCUGACCCAGCAACGCCGCGUGAAGGAAGAAGGCUUUCGGGUUGUAAACUUCUUUUCUUGGGGACGAAGAAAGUGACGGUACCCAAGGAAUAAGCCACGGCUAACUACGUGCCAGCAGCCGAGGUAACACGUAGGUGGCAAGCGUUAUCCGGAUUUAUUGGGUGUAAAGGUCGCGUAGGCGGGAUUGCAAGUCAGAUGUGAAAACCA
rnacentral:rRNA from 1 species